rnacentral:rRNA from 1 species
UGGGGAAUAUUGCACAAUGGGCGCAAGCCUGAUGCAGCCAUGCCGCGUGUAUGAAGAAGGCCUUCGGGUUGUAAAGUACUUUCAGUCGGGAGGAAGGGAGUAAAGUUAAUACCUUUGCUCAUUGACGUUACCCGCAGAAGAAGCACCGGCUAACUCCGUGCCAGCAGCCGCGGUAAUACGGAGGGUGCAAGCGUUAAUCGGAAUUACUGGGCGUAAAGCGCACGCAGGCGGUUUGUUAAGUCAGAUGUGAAAUCCUCGGGCUCAACCUGGGAACUGCAUUCGAAACUGGCAGGCUAGAGUCUUGUAGAGGGGGGUAGAAUUCCAGGUGUAGCGGUGAAAUGCGUAGAGAUCUGGAGGAAUACCGGUGGCGAAGGCGGCCCCCUGGACAAAGACUGACGCUCAGGUGCGAAAGCGUGGGGAGCAAACAGG